CAGCCGCCGCGGGAAUACGGAGGGCGCGAGCGUUACCCGGAUUCACUGGGCGUAAAGGGCGUGUAGGCGGCCUGGGGCGUCCCAUGUGAAAGGCCACGGCUCAACCGUGGAGGAGCGUGGGAUACGCUCAGGCUAGAGGGUGGGAGAGGGUGGUGGAAUUCCCGGAGUAGCGGUGAAAUGCGCAGAUACCGGGAGGAACGCCGAUGGCGAAGGCAGCUACCUGGUCCACUUCUGACGCUGAGGCGCGAAAGCGUGGGGAGCAAACCGGAUUAGAUACCCCUGUAGUCCCUGUCUCUUAUAC
rnacentral:rRNA from 1 species